rnacentral:rRNA from 1 species
AUUGAACGCUGGCGGCAGGCCUAACACAUGCAAGUCGAGCGGGGUUUUCGGACCUAGCGGCGGACGGGGGAGUAAUGGCUAGGAAUCUGCCUGGUCGUGGGGGACAACGUUUCGAAAGGAACACUACUACCGCAUACGUCCUACGGGAGAAAGCAGGGGACCUUCGGGCCUUGCGCUAUCAGAUGAGCAGGGGUCGGAUUAGCUUGUUGGUGAGGUAAUGGUUCACCAAGGCGACGAUCCGUAACUGGUCUGAGAGGAUGAUCAGUCACACUGGGACUGAGACACGGUCCAGACUCCUACGGGAGGCAGCAGUGGGGAAUAGUGGACAAUGGGCGAAAGCCUGAUCCAGCCAUGCCGCGUGUGUGAAGAAGGUCUUCGGAUUGUAAAGCACUUUAAGUUGGGAGGAAGGGUUGUAGAUUAAUACUCUGUAAUUUUGACGUUACCGACAGAAUAAGCACCGGCUAACUCUGUGCCAGCCGCCGCCGUAACAC